UCAUAAAAAAGUGUCCUGGUUUUAGAGUACAAGCAGAGCUUUUAUGUUCUUUGUUUUGCAUUAACACAGUAACUUUUUAUGUUUAACUAAAUGAUCAGGUAUUUAAAGAAUUCUGGUAUUCAGUGAAAGGUAGUUUGUUAGGUGUAUGUGUUUGUAGGUGUAGGUGUAGCUGUUUGUAAGUGUAGGGUAGGUGUUUGUAGGUGUUUGUAGGUGCAGUGUAGGUGUUUGUAAGUGUAGGGUAGGUGUUUGUAGGUAUUUGUAGGUGCAGUGUAGGUGUUUGUAAGUGUAGGGUAGGUAUUUGUAGGUGUGUGCAGGUGUUUGUGAGUGUAUUGUAGGUGCAGUGGAGGUGAUUGUAGGUGUCUGUAGGUGUAUUGUAGAUGUUUGUAGGUGCAGUGUAGGUGUUUUUAUGUUUCUAAAUGUAUUGUAGAUGUUUGUUGGUGCAGUGUAGGUGUUUGUAUGUGUUUGUAAGUGUAUUUUAGGUGUUUGUAGGUGCAGUGUAGGUGUUUGUAAGUGUAUUGUAGGUGUUUGUCUGUGUUUUUAAGUGUAUUGUAGGUGUAGGUUUUUAAGUGUAUUGUAGGUGUUUGUAGGUAUAGUCUAGGUGUUAGUAGGUGUUUGUAAGUGUAAGAUAUGUCUUUGUAUGUGUAGGGUAGAUGUCUGUAAGUGUAUUGUAGGUGUGUAGGUGUUUGUAGGUGUUUAAGUGUAUUGUAGGUGUUUGUAGGUUUGGGUAAGUGUUUCUUGGUGUUUAAGUGUAUUGUAGGUGUUUGUAGGGGUUUUAGGUGUUUGUGGGUGUUUGUAGGUGUAGUGUAGGUGUUUGUAGUUGUUUGUAGGUGUUUGAUUUUACUUUAGGUGUUUGUAGAUGUAGUGUAGAUGUUUGUAAGUGUAUUAUAGAUGUUUGUGGGUGUAGUGUAGGUGUUUGUAGGUGUUUGUAAGUGUUUAAGUGUAUUGUAGAUGUUUGUAGGUUUGGGUAGGUGUUUCUUGGUGUUUAAGUGUAUUGCAGGUGUUUGUAGGUGUUUGUAGGUGUUUGUAGUGGUUUGUAUGUGUUUGUAGGUGUUUGUAGGUGUUUGUGGGAGUUUAAUUGUAUUGUAGGUGUUUGUAGGUGUUUGUAGGUGUUUCUAAAUGUUUAAUUGUAUUGUAGGUGUAGUGUAGGUGUUUGUAAGUGUAUUAUAGAUGUUUGUAGUUGUUUGUAGGUGUUUCUAAAUGUUUAAUUGUAUUGUAGGUGUAGUGUAGGUGUUUGUAAGUGUAUUAUAGAUGUUUGUAGGUGUUUGUAGUUGUUUGUAGGUGUUUCUAAAUGUUUAAUUGUAUUGUAGAUGUAGUGUAGGUGUUUGUAAGUGUAUUAUAGAUGUUUGUAGGGGUUUGUAGGUGUUUGUAGGUGUUUGUAGGUGUUUGUAAGUGUAGUGUAGGUGUUUGUAGGCCCUGUGGUUUCAGUAAGGGAGGAGGUAGAACAGUGGAACGGUGUUCCUCAGCUCCUGGCUGGCUUGGUUUCGUGUUGCUGCACCGUGAGCACAAAAUGAAAGAUACACUCCUCUGGUCCACUCCUGUGAUUUUAAUUAAAUAGGGGUCAUGUGUACAGUCCACCUCCCACGUUUAGAGAAAUUUAAUCUGCAGUCAAAGCGCAAGUGUGUGUGUGUGUGUGUGUGUCCCACGGUCUCAGCCAUGUCACUCACAGCCCUGACCCACUGCGGCCUACAGCGCUGCACAUGUGGGAGAAGCCUGUGUGUAUAGUGUGUGUGUGUGUGUGUGUGUGUGUGUGUGUGUGUGUGAUUGAGAUACAGAGAGAAAGAAUGAAAGAAAGAAAGAAAAGAGAGAGAGAGAGAUUGAAAGUGAGACAGGGGUUGCACCUGCACUCUUAAUAAACGCAGUCAAGCAGACUGGACAUCUCUCUUAUUCCCCCUGUGUCCUCCACACACACACACACACACACACACACACACACACACACACACACACACACACACACACACACAGUUUAAAAAAUUGUGAUAUCGAAAUAUUAUUAAAAAAAAAGAACCUUUACUAUAUUUAUGUUUUCCUUUUCCUUUUUAUAUUUACAUUCUAUUUACUUUUACUGCAUUUAAAUAUUUGUAGUUUUUUGGCAGACCGCCAACAAUGUUAUGAUGAAACUGGCCCUCAUCAGCAAACAAUUUUUGGUUAGGAGAAUGUUUUCUAAACAACAUGUGUUUCGAAUCGCGUCAUACUCAGUAAUCACAGAUAAAUUUACUUUUGCAUUUAUUGUGCACAAAAAUAACAAAACUAAAUAUUUUUCCACUACUUUGGAGUGUUUAUAAUGUUUAUAUUAGUGCUGUGUGAUAUGAUGAUAAAUAUCGUGAGGAU